AGCUAGGCAAAUUAUAUAACAUUUGUUGGUGAGAAUAAAAUUCUUAAAAAGAUGGCUAGAAAAGAGUUUGGAAUUAUGAUGCUGUACUUCUGUGUGUUACAAAUCGAGGUCGUGGUGAUAAAGCUUAAACCCUAAGCUAAAGAACAGAGAAAGAGAAGAAGAGCAGAGGAAGAAAACGAAGAGAAAGCUAUGAAUUGUAAGUGCACAAUUGGUUUCUGCUUGCUAUCCCAAUGGAUGUGAACUUGGGCCAAUCUGUUCAUCUUCAUCUUCACACUGUUGUGUAACAAAAUGUGUGUCCCUGGAAACAGAAACUCAGGGCUUGAGGCUUUGAACCGUUCCAAUAAUCAUCAAUGACGUUUUUUUUUGCUACGUAUGUUAGAUAAUUAUUGUUUGACAACAAAAGUAAUGUGUUAGAGUUUUAUAUAUGGCGGAAUAAUGCCCAUUUGGUACUAAUUAUUGGGCUUUUUUGCCCAUUUCAAUCAAAAACGUUUUUCAUUGCCCAUUUCAAUUAUUCUUACCAAAAUUAUUUUUCUAUCCCUAACCUAACUAUCUAAUCUUAUCCCUCCANNNNN
rnacentral:lncRNA from 1 species